UACGUAGGGUGCAAGCGUUAAUCGGAAUUACUGGGCGUAAAGCGUGCGCAGGCGGUUAUGUAAGACAGAGGUGAAAUUCCCGGGCUCAACCUGGGAACUGCCUUUGUGACUGCAUAGCUGGAGUACGGCAGAGGGGGAUGGAAUUCCGCGUGUAGCAGUGAAAUGCGUAGAUAUGCGGAGGAACACCGAUGGCGAAGGCAAUCCCCUGGGCCUGUACUGACGCUCAUGCACGAAAGCGUGGGGAGAAAACAGG
rnacentral:rRNA from 1 species